rnacentral:rRNA from 1 species
UACGUAGGGGGCAAGCGUUGUUCGGAAUUACUGGGCGUAAAGGGCGCGUAGGCGGCCUGGCAAGUCGGGAGUGAAAGCCCGGGGCUCAACCCCGGAACUGCUUUCGAAACUGCCGAGCUAGAGUGCGGAAGAGGCAACUGGAAUUCCCAGUGUAGCGGUGAAAUGCGUAGAUAUUGGGAAGAACACCGGAGGCGAAGGCGGGUUGCUGGGCCGACACUGACGCUGAGGCGCGAAAGCCAGGGGAGCGAACGGG